GUAGGUGAACCUGCGGAAGGAUCAUUACACUCAGUAGUUUACUACUGUAAAGGAGACUGUUAGUCUGUAUAGCUUAAUCGCUGAUGAGCAGCUGGUCUCUUUUUCUCCACCCUUGUCUUUUGCGUACCCAUGUUUCCUCGGCAGGCUUGCCUGUCGAUUGGACAAUUCUAUAACCUUUUUAAUCUUCAAUCAGCGUCUGAAAAAAACGUAAUAAUUACAACUUUCAACAACGGAUCUCUUGGUUCUG
rnacentral:misc_RNA from 1 species